CCAAAACCAAACCUCAGCCAAACCAAGCAGAUAAAAAUAUUAUCCUGCUUUUUGUUUGGAAUGAAGUAAAGAAAUCAGCCGUCAACAAUCGACCAUCUGCCAACUUGACUGAAUAAGCAAAUUCAAUUAUUAUAAUUUAUACUGUAUCGAAAAACUGCGUUAAAAUAGGGACACACGCUCAAGCUUCAAGAAUUAUUAACACGUAGUGUCAAACAGCAACCAUGAAGCGGAAACAAUGAAGAACAAACAAAUUCAUUGAGUCAAAUUGAAUUCCAUAUUUUAACAUGGAGAAUCUCUGCCGUGCUUGUUUAAAAGAAGGAGCCAACAUAUCAAUAUUUGAUAGCAAAGAUGAAAACAGUGUAUAUACUAAACUCUCUUUAUGUGUUAGGGAAAAGGCGAAGGACCUUGAAGGAUACCCUCGCAAUAUAUGCAUAGUAUGUUACAGCACCUUGGAGUCUGUCUGCGCUUUCAUCAAAAAAUACAAGGAGUCACACAAGGUUCUAGAAAGUGGGCUAAUACCAAUAAAACAUGAGCCCUAUGAGAACAACAAUACCUAUGAUGACAUUAACAAUGACCAAUCAGAUAUUGAAAUAGAAGUAUGUGCAAUAAAAACGGAACCCCAAGGUACUACUGACGUUUUAGGCGAACCUCUGAAGUUGAAAAUUGACAAGUUAAAACAUUUAUCCAUUAAAAGAGUUAUAAAGAAAGAAGAAGAUUCUAAUCCAGAAAAUGAGUGUGUGGAUCUUACAAAAGAGCCUGCCAAAAAAAAGAAGACAAAAAGCAGCAAAUCAGAAACAAGACUAUCAUUGAAAGAAUACAAGCAAAUGACAUUGAAACAGAGAAAAUUAAAGCUAAUAAAAAGACAGAAAGAGAUUGAAGAAAGGAGAAAAAAUAAAAGUAAACAAAAUGAUACGGAUUCAGAUCCUGCGAAGCCUGACGAACCAAAACCACCCAAGCUGUGUGAUAUUUGUGGUGACACGUUUCCAACAUCAGACAAACUGUCAUAUCAUAAGCAGAAAAAACAUGUAGACGUACCUGUACAAUGUCCAACUUGUAACCGCACUUGUGUAAGCACAUAUUACCUUAACAGGCAUAUUAAGAGAAAACAUACUGAGAAGAAAGACUUUAUCUGUCAAAUCUGCGGUACAGGAUUUGCUUUUAAAGGGGAGCUGACGAGUCACUACAAAUCGGUGCAUGUGAAAAAGACGGGACCACCCAGGACUUGGGCGUGCAAGCAUUGUGGGAAGACGUACAAGUGUCCAAAGUCGGUGCUUGUGCAUGAAAGAUCAGUUCAUACAGGCGAACGUCCAGCGGUUUGCGACAUCUGCAACACCAGUUUCACCCACCACGACUACCUAAAAGAACACAUGCGUUUGCAUACCGGAGAGACCCCAUUCAAGUGUCCCAUAUGCGGCCGCGGCUAUGCGCAGCGCUGUAAUAUGAAGAGCCAUCUCCGCAUUCAUAAGGUGUCCGAGUUGAACCCCGAGGAGCUUAGCAAGCUUAGACCUAACUAUAUAAGGAGGUUGAAGGUAUGAUAAUUUGUAAUUAAUGGAGAAAGGGGGCAUUCCAGAAGUGUCGGGUACGUGAAGCUAUUUUUAUUCUGAUUUUCUACCUUGUCUACCUUGUCAUAAAAGUCAAGAGUAUAUUGUGUAAUAAUCUUGCAAUUGGGCAGAGUAUUAAAUAGGUAUGAACUUUGUUCUAUUAGUGCUAAGGUUGAAAAUCAAAUGUCAGUCCCAAACAGGAUAUACCCGUAAACAGUCCCGUAAAGGUGUCUAAAAUGGUUGAGUCUUCAGUGAAGCCAUUUAAAUUCGCAAGUGGGUCAUUAUCAGUUUCUAAGGCCCCAGGACCCCAUUUAAAAAAGGGUUUUUAACCUGAAAUUGGUGUAUUUCUUUCUAAGAAAUAUGGUUGUUAUAGAGUUGUAUAAAAUGCGAACCAAUACUCAAAAUAUUUUUUGCUAUAUUUGGAAGCCUAUAGUCUAUAGUUCUAUACUAUCCAACACCAGCGAGUCAUAAUCAAUCAUUAUUAUUCAUACCUCAUACCCACUUGUUUAUUUUAUGAAAUAAGUUUUGUUGUUUAAUUACUUACAACGAAAGUGGUCUGCCGAGUAAAAAAUACAUAAAAACACCAACUUGCUCUCUUGUCAACUUGUUCGCAAGAAGUUUAGUAAAAGCUAAAAAUAGGUUCUAUCUAAAACAUGAUCUUUUAAUACCUAGAUUUAGAUUGUAUUAUUAGGUAUUCCUAUUGUACUAUAAUAUUGUGUUGUUAGGUUCUAUCUUUUAGUUUAGUUUAUUUUUUAAUACUGAUGUGCCGGCGAAAAAUUUAAACAAAUGUUAUCUUGAUUUCCUGUGAAAAUUUCCGAGAACUUUUCCAACUUUUUGGAACCCUACUGUAUAUUGCAAUCUGUAGGUAAUUUUUAUCAUAAAAAUACGGCGAUUUGAGGUAACGCUAAAGUUUAAUAUAUCCGAUUAAACAGAAUCGGAUGAGGUUAUGUUAGUAUUUUAAUUACUUAUCUAAUUAUUACAGGGUACAUCUGUUUAAAUGUUUACAAGAUGAGAUGUUAGGAGCCCUUGGAGCGAAAGGCAACGCGAAAAUUGAAACUCUAAGUAUGCCCUUUUUCAGCUAUUUAACCCUUUACUAGGCUAAGCUGGCUAAGGUAUAUAUUUCCCACAUACGGCACUUCAAACAUGUGUUCUAUUUUCGAUGAGUAAGACUGACAUUCAACUGUUUGGACUGUCAGCCUGGUAAAGGGUUAAUGAGAGUAAGGGUGGUAUUCCUACUAUCCAAUUUCUUUGUUCAAAGUGUAACUGCGUCUCACAUUUUGCUUCAAUGACGGAGUGAGAGGUAAUGACAUUGGACAGGUGGAAUACCACUCUACAACGGCACAAUUACACAGUAUCUAAUAACCCGCGACAAAAAAGAAAAUAAUCAUUUUACCGUUUCAGUGCCUGCCGGAAUUUGUCAACUUUUUUUUUCUCGAAAUCUAUAAUUGGCAGGGGGUUACUCACAGACAAAACAUCCUCCAGACUGAGCAUAGUCGCACUACCCCCUCUGCCACGGAUACGGUAAUUUUACUCCAUGUUCGAGUCGAAAGUGUCUUUGUGUGACGUCCGUGUCUUUGAACGGACCAAUCACGGCACGGGACUUCGCUCACCUCGUCCCGCGCACCCCCGCAUUUUUGUCAUCAUUGGUUGCAUGAAAUAAUUGCUCUAAACUCGGUCUAGAGGAUUCCUAGUCUAUGGGGUACUUUUACACUUUCGUCUUUCUGCACCUGUUACCAGUGGAGCAAGUAUAAAGUGACAGCAAGACUGCGUGACUUUAGUGACUAGUUGUCUACAUCUUUUGAAUCUCGCGCGCGGAAGUGGUUUUGUCACUUUUGCUGGCUCAAGGCCUCAGUCCACAAACAAGGCUCAGUUUUCAAGGUUGUUAUUAAUUACUAAUUAAUGUAUAAAAAUUAAACGUUAGAGAUGGGAUGAUUGAUGAUGAUGAAACUUAUUAUUACAUUAUGGCUAAUUAAGAAUGAAAGGUUUCUUGUUUAUAAAUAAGUAUGGACACUGUUUUGUAAGAAAGUAAUUGUAAUAAAAAUUGACAUGUUUUAAACGCUUCGCACACCUUACUUAAUUCAGUCGUCCUAACAGACAUCCUAAGUCCUAAAUUAGUAAUAGGGUCCCGUUUUACCCUUUGGGUACGGAACCCUAAAAAUGAUGUUCAUUUUAGUGCACUCAGACUCCUAUACAUCUAUACACCUUGAAGAUUAAGACUCCUGAAUUAAGUAAAAUGUGUGAAACGCUUUAUUCCUACGGUGCACUUAUUUUUAGUUCUUAUGAACCCCUUAAUUGGUCAAUUACUCUAAUGGCGGUAUUACAUUAGUUGCGGAUCAGAGGGCCUACCGCGAACCGCGUCCGGCGUAUUGCCUCUCUAUCGCACUUGUAAAUUCGUACGUAAGUGUGACAGGGAGGCAACACGUCGAACGUGGUUUGCGGUAAGCUUUCAGCACGCCGGCGCCGCUCCGUCGUGCGGGACAGAGCUAUAUGUAAUACGUGAAUAGAGAUGUCUCGCUCACGCACCGGAGCGGCGUAGGCCGUAAGGGGCAUGCAUAUAUUACAUUGUAAAAUAGUAAAAGUUCUUUUUUUAAUUUGUUAGUAAAAGAGAGUAGGAGGAAUUAUAAAAGCAAUAUUAAUAAAUUAAUCCUUCAAAUGCACAAGAUUUGUCUAAAAAUAUCAAUUGUUAUUGUUUUUGGACAAUUAUGUUAAUUCUAUUAUAGUGUUUAAUAUAUGUGCAAUUCAUUGUGUUAAUAUUAAUUGUAAUAUGAUGUGAAUAAAAGAGGAUACACAUUUUUUUC